rnacentral:rRNA from 1 species
UACGAAGGGUGCAAGCGUUAAUCGGAAUUACUGGGCGUAAAGCGUGCGUAGGCGGUCUUUUAAGUCUGCUGUGAAAUCCCCGGGCUCAACCUGGGAAUGGCAGUGGAUACUGGGAGGCUAGAGUGUGUCAGAGGAUGGUGGAAUUCCCGGUGUAGCGGUGAAAUGCGUAGAUGUCAGGAGGAAUACCGAUGGCGAAGGCAGGUCUCUGGGCUGACACUGACGCUCAUGCACGAAAGCGUGGGGAGCAAACAGG